UGACUUUUGUUGUGGCACAGUGGCUAAAGCGUCUGCCUCGGAAGCAGGAGUUUGUGGGUUCGAACUCCAGCCGAGUCAA